AACGAACGCUGGCGGCAUGCCUAACACAUGCAAGUCGAACGAGACCUUCGGGUCUAGUGGCGCACGGGUGCGUAACGCGUGGGAACCUGCCCUUAGGUACGGAAUAACUCCCUGAAAGGGGUGCUACUAUCGGAAAAUGUCUUCGGAACAAAGAUUUCUCGCCUUUGGAUGGGCCCGCGUUGGAUUAGCUAGUCGGUAUGGGAAAAGCCUAUCAAGGCGACGCUCCUUAGCUGGUCUGAGAGGAUGAUCAGCCACACUGAGACUGGGACGCGGCCCAGACUCCUACGGAAGGGAGCAAUGGGGGAUAUAGGACAAUCGGCGGAGGCCUGAACCAGCAAGGCCGCGUAAGUGAUGUAGGCCUGAGAGAUGUGAAGCUCUUUUACCCGGGAUGAUAAUGACGGUACCGGGAGAAUAAGCUCCGGCUAACUCCGUG
rnacentral:rRNA from 1 species